CCGCAGGCGGGGUCCUGCGCCUCCGGGCCCGGGCUGCUGCCUGCGCGGUAACUGGAGUAGAAGGUGGCCUGAGAGCGAGUGGGGCCUUCCGUGCAGGAAGUCACGCCUGCUUUCCCGUGGCUUACCCCAUGUAGGGGGUCCACGGCUUUCACGCAAAGGACAAACUCUUACCUUUUGCUCUGGCAGUAACAAUAAUGUAUCUUGUCUUACUACGCAACAUCUUUGUAGCGGGUGCUCUAUGCAGCAAAUCCCCGUCUUUGCAAGUCACAUGAGAAACUCCUGAUAACGGCAAAGAUCUCUGACUUUGUGAUUUGUGAUUGUCAGGGUCUUCCCCAUAUGCACUGGGAUUCAAAUACAGCAGAAAAGGACUUUUGGAAGCAGAGUAAAACCAUAAAGGUCAUCACAAGAUGAGGAUACUGAUCUCCAGAAAUAAGCCACACAACUAAUUAAGAGAUGGAGCUGGGAUUAAAAUCCAGGUAGUCAAAGUUUGCUGUGAUGAGGUGAUUUGCAUGGAUAAUAAAACCAAGGGUGUUUGAGAGACAAAUGCAGGAAUAUAACCUAGCCUGCUUUAUGACACUCAACUUGAUGUGGUUUCCAGA